rnacentral:lncRNA from 1 species
CACCACCAUUUCUCUCUCUAGUGCCCGGGGGGCGGGCUCCUAGGUCAUCCCAGGCUUCUGCUGCUGUAGUGGGACUGCGGAAGAGCCGGCCAAGUCACCUGCACAAUUCUCUCCGGCCAGGCAACGAGGGCAUCCGCCUUUCCCUUGGCAGCUCUUGAGGCUCUGCCCAGAAGGCAUCUCUCAGCUCUCACUGGGGCAGCAGCAGGGACUGUGCCCAAAGAGCAGGCCGCGUCCGGGGCAUUGGCGGUGUCCUGGGCACACGGCCGCCUCUCCCAGCAGGCCUCGCCCUCCAGAUGAAGCCUACCAAGCACAGUGGAGGGUUACCACGUCCCUCCAGAGGGACUGCACGCAGGCUCAGGUCCCCCUCCCCUGCCUGAGCAAGUCCCCGAGGUGAUCACUGUCCUGGGGUCACUGGGGACUGAGGGAGUCGUCAUGUGCCAAGUGUCUAGACCAGGGCCAGCACAUCCUGAGCUCCACGUGUGUGCAGGUGGUCGCCCCUGCGCUGCCCGCCAUCACAUCCCCUUGGCCUGCUCUGCAGCGUUUCCCACAGCCCCAGUCCCUGCUGGCUCUCCUCCCUCCCCAUCCUGGGCCCUCGUGAGAGGCGCCUGGAGCUCGGGUGACACCACCUUAACUUAGAGCCAGUUCUCCACCCAGCCAACCAUGAUUCUUCAAAGAGCUGAUUAGUUCCAUCAUGUGCUCAGAACGGUUCGUGAUGUGGCACACACACACACACACAGUGUGAGGACUGUCACAGGCAGGGGCCUUUUGUCCCCAUCCAGAGGCCCCUUUCCUUGGCAAUAGUCCUACAUCACAAAACCUGUCAAAGGACAUCUCUGGAGGCCUUUUGGGGUCCUUUGCAGCCAGAUGUGAGCUGUCUCAGCUCCCCUCUGCCUGACACAGAGGCAGAUCUGUGUCAUUACACAGGGGCAGCCUCCCAGAAGCGCCCCCCCCCCCGCGCUGUCCUGUGGUUUUGAACCAAGUCCUGCCAGCUCGUGGCCCCAUUGUGUAAUGGGUUCUUCCUCCUUGACUUCCGUAGGCUCCACCUCAAUGUCCUUCUCCAUUCCAGAUUUGUUUUGUUUUGUCUCUUUGAACGAUUGCAAUCUGCUGAAAGUUCCAGAAACCGAGGUCCAUGAGGCCCUGUUGUUUGAAUACUGUGCAUCUGCUGUUUCAUGUGAAGUGUCACAUACGAAGCCAGCCUCGAAGGUCCCUGGAGCUCUUUCUCGGCUGGUGGAGCCGCUGCCUCCCGUCAGUGUCUCCACGUGCCUGGGAAAACCAAGGGGGACCACAGUGCCUUCGAGAGCAGUCCUUUGAUCUAACACCAAGGCCAUCGCUUGCCACGAAAUACAGACACUCCUGCUGCAUCUCUGUGCAUCGAUCUUCCCUUGAUGAGUCAACAUUUGAAUCGCGAUGCAUCCCUUAGAUUUUGUAUUAUAGAACAUGUUCAAAUUUAUACGUUGUUAAAAUAAAAUC